rnacentral:rRNA from 1 species
GUGAGGAAUAUUGCGCAAUGGAGGCAACUCUGACGCAGCCAUGCCGCGUGCAGGAAGAAGGCGCUACGCGUUGUAAACUGCUUUUAACCGGGAAGAAACCCCAGGACGUGUCCUGGGUUGACGGUACCGGAGGAAUAAGCACCGGCUAACUUCGUGCCAGCAGCCGCGGUAAUACGAAGGGUGCAAGCGUUAUCCGGAUUCAUUGGGUUUAAAGGGUGCGUAGGCGGAGCGUUAAGUCAGUGGUGAAAUCCUGCAGCUUAACUGUAGACUUGCCAUUGAUACUGGCGCUCUUGAGUGCGCUUGAAGUGGGCGGAAUGUGCCGUGUAGCGGUGAAAUGCUUAGAUAUGGCACAGAACACCAAUUGCGAAUGCAGCUCACUAAGGCGAUACUGACGCUGAGGCACGAAAGCGUGGGGAUCGAACAGGAUUAGAAACCCUUGUAGUCC